AUACGAAAGUAGAAGCACCCGUUUCUCACCUGUAGUAAAGACAACCAGGUAGUAAAUUUAGGAAUUAAAAAUAAAAUUGGGUCUACUUUAUUUAGACUCAAUUUUUUGCUUUUAU
rfam:Gemella asaccharolytica strain KA00071 genomic scaffold Scaffold20, whole genome shotgun sequence.